rnacentral:rRNA from 2 species
GAUAUGUAAUGUGAAUUGCAGAUUUUCAGUGAAUCAUCGAAUCUUUGAACGCACCUUGCGCUCCUUGGUAUUCCGAGGAGCAUGCCUGUUUGAGUGUCAU